CCUGCUCCCGGACCUGGGCUGCGCGGCUGUCAGCCUGUUGGGGGCCCGCCGGCCGCUCCCGGUCUCCUUUGGCGGAUAGCGGGCUGCAGACCCUGACUCACAGCCCUGGAGGCGCGCAGAGACUGGGAGACACGCUGGGGAGGGGGCGCUGAGAACCUGGCUCCUUACCAGCUGCCCAGUCACAAAAAAAAAGGGGUGCGGAGGGACACAGGUGUACAGAGAGCAGGAUUUCCUUGAGGGCUCUUCUCUGCCAAGAUGCCAGGACCAGCCAAACCAGCAGUGCCAGUUGGGCAUCCCCGAACCCUCCCCCCUACACCACCACCACCAUUCUCCCCCUUCCUUGCAGCGGCUCCAGGGAGGCCGGGCCCAGCCCGAGGGCGAGGGCGCAGCAACAGGAGACGAGUGCGGUAGUGAAGGAGAAAGAUGACAAACCGGUAAGCCUUACAUAAAUGACAAGGAGUGGUGUGUAUUAGGAGAAAACUUAAGUCAGGUGAAGGGGCUGGAACAUGAACUAGGGCCUGUUUCAGAUGGGUGGUCAGGGUGGGCCUCUUGGAGAAGAUUUUGCAGAGGCCUGAAGGAAGUGAGCAAGCAAGCUGGGUGGAUAUGUGGGGGAAGAGCAUUGCCGAAACAACGGCCAGUGCAAAGGCCCUGUGGCAGGAGUGCGCCUGGUGUGAUGAAGGGACAUGGAGGAGGCCAGUGUGGAUGGAGCAGAGGGUGCAAGGGGGAAGCUGGUGGCCCAUUUAGCAUCUUUGCAUCAAUUAGAAAAAGACAGAAUAAACAUGUCAAUAUAGUGCCAUGGAGGAAACUGAGGCAGCAUGGAGGACUAGGAAACAGGGCAGGCUUUGUGUCAAAUUGUAAUUUUAAAUUUUAAACAGAGAAGAUGACAUCUGAGCAAGCACUUGGAGGUGAGCAAAGGAAGGGCAGAAGGGACAACAAGGGCGAAGGUUUGGGGGUGGGACCGUGCCUUCCAGCAGGCAGAAUGGGCCCAAUCCCAGUUUCCCUCUGUGACCUGGCCUGCCCUCGUUCUGUGCGUCCUGUGAUGAGGCACGUUCUCCCAGCUCAGGGAACCCAGAGAGCCUUGCCAGUGCACGACACAACCAGGGACACCGCUGUCAUACCAAGGUGCACAGUCAUAGUUUUAUUGUAUUUGUCAGACACUUAGCAUAGCAUUAACUCAGUGCCUGGCACAGUGCCAACACAGCUGCACGGCUUCUCCUUUAAUCCUCAUGAUGACAGCAUGGGGUGGGCACCAUUAUCAUCCCCAUUUUACAGAUGAAGAAACUGAGAAUCGUGAAAAUUAAUCAAGGAAAACCUCACUGACAUGGUGUCACAGAGCCUGCAGGAGCAGCUCUCAUGCCCAUCACUCCUCAUAAAUCCCACAUUCCAUCCCAAGAAGCAGAUGCCAUACAGUUUUAGCCACCUUCCCACCCAGCAGGGAGAAGGUUUCCACCUUCUGCCUCCCGCAUCGGCCCAACCAGUCAGACUGUCGCAACUCAGCCAAUGAGAAGCCACGAUACGUGGUACUUCCAGUUUCCUCCAAUGGACUUUUUGCUUAGAAACAGCCUCCUAACUGGCCCCUUCCUCUAUAAAAGGGUUUUGGUCUGCUUUCUUCUCUGGACAGGCGCGUGGUACUCCCGGAACUUGCAUGUUCUGGAUUGCAACUCUGCUCUUCCUGAAUAAACCCGUUUUUGCUGGUAAAAUAACUGUUUUAUUUUUAAGGUUAACAGAAUCUUUGAGGAAAAAAUGUGAAUCCGAAAGGUGGGACAUUCCAUACAGGACAAUAUACCAGGCCCUUUAGCUCCUCAGACUGGGACCAGCAAAAGGGAAGGUCUACACAAGUCAAAUAUUUCUUAGAACACAUUGCAUGAAGAUCUGUGCGUUUUACAUUAUGUAAAUUUCACCCAUUUAAAAACUACAACUGCAAACAAAACCCUGAACCCUAGUUAAUGAUAAGCUUGUUGAAAGGUUGGGUUGCCACAUUCUGGUUUCUGUAGCUCACUUUGAAAUGCAUCAAAAUAAUAGGUGCAUAUUGUGAUGCUGUGAUUUAUACUACAAAAUACGUAUUUGGGUCUUGUUCCUGACACAGAGCUCUUAAAACCUUUGGAAUUUCCUAGGUGAGAAGAGUGAUAAAGGUGUCUUGAUACCUAUCUCAAACCCCUUUCAACCACAAGUCCAGUUUAUGUUAUUGGGAUAAGGUUUGGAUAUUAUGCCUAAGAAUGGGAGCUGGUUGCCAGGGGAACCAACCGUGUGAUGGGAGUGUUGGACCUUCCAUCCCACACCUGAUCUCAGGUAGGGUAGGGGCGGCGGGGAUGAGGUUGACUCCAUCACAGUGACCAAUCAUUUAUGUCUAUGUAAGGAAGCAUCCAUAAAAACUCAGGACGGGGUUCAGAGAGCUUCCCAGUCGAUGGACGUGGAGAUUUGUGGAGACUGGUACACUCAGAGAGUGUGGACGUUCCGGGCUUUUUCCCACUCAUUGGCCCUAUGCAUCUCUUUCAUCGGGCU